rnacentral:rRNA from 1 species
GAGCGGUAGGGUUUCUUCGGAAACCUGAGAGCGGCGCACGGGUGCGGAACACGUGUGCAACCUACCUUUAUCAGGGGGAUAGCCUUUCGAAAGGAAGAUUAAUACCCCAUAAUAUAUUAGAUGGCAUCAUUUGAUAUUGAAAACUCCGGUGGAUAGAGAUGGGCACGCGCAAGAUUAGAUAGUUGGUGAGGUAACGGCUCACCAAGUCAGUGAUCUUUAGGGGGCCUGAGAGGGUGAUCCCCCACACUGGUACUGAGACACGGACCAGACUCCUACGGGAGGCAGCAGUGAGGAAUAUUGGACAAUGGGUGAGAGCCUGAUCCAGCCAUCCCGCGUGAAGGAUGACGGCCCUAUGGGUUGUAAACUUCUUUUGUAUAGGGAUAAACCUUUCCACGUGUGGAAAGCUGAAGGUACUAUACGAAUAAGCACCGGCUAACUCCGUGCCAGCAGCCGCGGUAAUACGGAG